UACAGAGGGGGCAAGCGUUAUUCGGAAUUAUUGGGCGUAAAGCGCGUGUAGGCGGCCAUGUAGGUCUGACGUGAAAUCCCGAGGCUCAACCUCGGGUCUGCAGUCGAUACGAGCAAACUAGAGUGUUGCAGGGGAGACUGGAAUUCCUGGUGUAGCGGUGAAAUGCGCAGAUAUCAGGAAGAACACCCGUGGCGAAGGCGGCUCUCUGGGACGGUACUGACGCUGAGACGCGAAAGCGUGGGGAGCGAACAGG
rnacentral:rRNA from 1 species